AUCGCGGUGUGGACACACUGAUCCUCAGGACGCGUCAUUUUGUGCUUGCUGUCCGUGAAAACUUCUUUAAAUUGGCCUAAAAAUUGCGUGCUUUUGGCCAGGACAUUGGGAAAACAUCGGGACAGCCACUCGGAGGAGCAGUCAACAAAUCCCAAUCCCGGCGGACACGGAAUUUAUGUUUGUUUGAGCACAUUUCGCCGUCAAGUCAUUCGUCAGUCUUGUCACAUGUAUUUCCGUGGGGGAGGGGGCUGCGGGAAGAAGCAGAAAAUGAUGGAAAAAAUGCGGAAAAGGAAAAACAAAUGCAAAAUGUGACAGGAACGCAACUGAGUCGCUUUAGCGAUCCGGUGGACAGGAGCUGCUCCGCUCCCAUUGACGCUGAUUAAUGUGGUAUUGGUCUAAUAUUCAUACUUAUUUAUGUCCCUUCACAAGUUUGGCAAAAAGGGCUCAAUUCAAAAAAAAGGAAUGAAGACAGCCUGGAGUGGUCGUCAGUGUAUAAAUCAUAUCAAUCGAAGCCUUCCUCCGCUCUGAAUUCAACAUGACCAGGAGACCAGGCAGCCAAUCCUCUGAUUCUGAUGCGAACGCGGCCAGAGGAACCUGAAGAAGACGGCGGUGGAGAGAUCAUUACAUUGACAUAUUCAUGCGGAAUCGAAAUCGGAAUCGGGGAAUUCCAGGGAACACACAAACAAUGGAGCACGCGACCAUGUGGAGCGAAGCCUUGAGGAGGGCGUCCCACGCGAGAACCAGGAAUCAACCUGCAACUUGCAACCUGCAAUGUGCCUUUUGUCUUGCCCAGGAACCUCACACAUCUCGCAUCGCACAUCGUCCAGUUGUCGUCGCUUUAUCCGCAACAUGGACAUGGGGACCGGGAUCGUCGGAAUGCUUAUCAAGGGGCGCACUUGUAGCUGUCAUAAGGCCAACUGAAAUAUUGGCAGCCCCAGCCCCAGUCCAAGCAGAAACCGAAACGGCAAUCCCCAUUCCCACCCCAUUCCUCUCAAUGAAGUUGGAUGCACUGGACAAAAAGUCCACUUGAGGUGGAAAGAAAGGGGGAAAGGCACAAGAAAUGCCCCAGGACUUGUCCUCCAUCCAUUUAUCUCACUCGACGCCGGUGACGACUACGGGCAAAUAUGGAAAUUCGUUGCCCUGGCCUCCCUUUUUUUUGUGAGACCCCCGCAAACCCGGCACUUAGACCGCUUCAUUAAACACUCCAUGAACUCCCUGUCCUGGGCCAAGUGUCCUUAUGUCCUGGCGGUGUAAUUAAUUUCUGCCACAGUCGAGUAUUUGAAAAAGCUUAGAAAUGCGGCCGAGGAGCGGCGGCAGGGUUUCCCGUGCCACAGGAGCUAUUAUGAAAGGGAGUCGAGUGGCGGGGAUAAUAACACAAGAAGUCGGAGAAAGAAACUGGAGUUUCAGAAAGGAUUGCAGUUAUGAAUGCAAAUAAUGAAACUCCGUAAAUAGCUAUGAAAAGAGCUACCACAAAGAUAAGGCCAGAGAGUGCAAAAGAAUUUGCCACAAAAUAUCCUUAACAGAAUGUUUCACUCCACAUCCAGUAAUAUUUUAAGUACUUGUAAAUACCUUACGUAAUUCCCAACUGAUGUGGGAUGAACAAGUGUUAAUCAAAAUUAUCGGAUUUACUGGAUCAAUAAACUUUGGCGUGUCGCCGAACCAAUAAUAAUUAAGGCAACAGCUUAAGGAUUUCCAAAGGCUCACAGGACACCUGGCAAACAACGAAAAAGCAGGACACAAAUCAAACAAAUGCGGGAUGAUGGACCGCGUCCCACGGCAGGUGUGUUCGACAGGGGAUUUCAAUGCGAAAAGAGCUGUGAUUCAGGAGUCCCAAGGAGCGGGGGAACCCGAGGAGCCAGAGCACGAGCGCCACAGCAGCUGCCGCUGAAUGGACAGCGGCUAAUUCCCCGUCCGCCUGCCAAAUGCCAAAUGCCAGAAUGGGAAGGCGGCAACAAUGGACGACGCACAGGGUGAAGGUCAGAUUUCGGGCAAUCAAACAAUGGACAAAGGAAUCGUUUUGAAUAUGAAAUGAGAUUGGCACACAACGGGUCGAGAAAUGGUAGUCGCCUUGACCGUAGGUGGACUCCAAUUACCCUACGGCAGCUGUAACCGCCUCGCAUCGUCUUGUUUUGGACUCGGAAUCGGAUUCGCAAUCUCCUCGAUCUCGAUUGAUCUUUCAAUCAAUGGCAGCUGCCUUUGGAGUGCGCCAAUUUUCAAUCUCGAACGUCAAUAUUUGCCUGGACUUAAGGCGGAUUGGGAAUUCCAGGAAUGCCCUGCUUUUGGGGCAAAUCAAGUUGGAUAUCUCAAGAUAGGAGUGGACUAUUGGAUGACCUGUAGUUUAAAUUUGAAGAACUUAGUUUGGUCCAAUUUGCAAAAGAAUUGCCAAUCAAAAUAUUUACAAAUAGUUUAAAUGCUUCAUAAUCUCUUAGAUCUCUUACUCAUUUUUAACAACCAUCAUGUAGUUGCUAUAAUUCUAAUAGGAUUAAUGAAUUUAUAAUAGUCUGCAUGGUACCCUAACCUCGAUCUAAUCACUUCCUUUGAAGGUGGAAUACCGCCCUAUAUCCCCAUUUAAACCACUGAGGAUCAGGCACGUUAUCGCCAGCUUUUUAUCGUGCCACCGCCCAAAAGGAGCCGCGUCAUCAGCGCAGAUUGAAAUAAUUCCGAGUUGCCAACUUGCCAAGUCAUCCCGAAUUGGUCAGCGGUCGAGGCCUCAGAUCUCUGGGUGUAUAUAUGUGUAUAUUCCUGGGGAGGAGCGGAGAUCGCGUGCGAUAGGCAACGUCAAUAUUUGUGUUUAUUUCUGGCUCGGAUCGGAUCGGAUCAGAUGGGAAUGGGCAUGGCCAUGGGCAUGGGCAUGAUUAUGAGGUCCUUGUUAGUCCCUUUGAAUUGGCGGCGCUUUCGCUUUGAGGUCGAACAAGUGGCUGCCCAAUUUGCGCUCUGUUUGUGUAUCAUUUUGUGGGCCUGGCUAAUUGUUUUGUGCCCUUAAAGAUCGGCUACCUGACCCGAUGUCGAUCCAACUAUGGGAAUCUCGGCGGUUUUAUUUGCCCUGGAUUUCGUUAUUUUGCGGUGGAUGUGGGAAAACUGCAAGCAGGCUAGAAAUUUAACAAGUUCUUUGGGUUGUACAAAUUAUUUAGAGUUUACUGGUAAUUUUUUACGAGGUGACUGAAAGAAAGGGAAUGAGA